CACUCCUGCGGGAGGCAGCAGUGGGGAAUAUUGCACAAUGGGCGCAAGCCUGAUGCAGCCAUGCCGCGUGUAUGAAGAAGGCCUUCGGGUUGUAAAGUACUUUCAGCGGGGAGGAAGGCAAUACGGUUAAUAACCGUGUUGAUUGACGUUACCCGCAGAAGAAGCACCGGCUAACUCCGUGCCAGCAGCCGCGGUAAUACGGAGGGUGCAAGCGUUAAUCGGAAUUACUGGGCGUAAAGCGCACGCAGGCGGUCUGUCAAGUCGGAUGUGAAAUCCCCGGGCUCAACCUGGGAACUGCAUUCGAAACUGGCAGGCUUGAGUCUUGUAGAGGGGGGUAGAAUUCCAGGUGUAGCGGUGAAAUGCGUAGAGAUCUGGAUGAAUACCGGUGGCGAAGGCGGCCCCCUGGACAAAGACUGACGCUCAGGUGCGAAAGCGUGGGGAGCAAACAGGAUUAGAAACCCCUGUAGUCCCAUGAU
rnacentral:rRNA from 1 species